rnacentral:lncRNA from 10 species
GGAAAUUUGUCCUUUCACUUGUGGUAUCAUAGUCUUUCAUGGAUCCCAUGCUGUUGUCUGUUUAUUUCUCCUUAAACAAGGAAAAAUAUACCCAGACCCAGUUUUCAUCAACAGACCAGCCCAUGGCAACCAUCACUCUACUUUCUGUCUCUAUGAAUUUGAAUACUCUGGGUAACCUCAUUCUGGGAUGAUAUGAAACCUUGCAGACGACAUGCAUGGAUCAACUCAUGAGACAGUAAAUCACUCAAAAUCUUACUACAAAAGACAACGUCCUUAUUUGCUUUUACAGAAAAAGGUAAAUCUUCCUUGACAUAUUCGGCAGAAUCUAUGAAGAAUUCAUUCAUUUAUUCUUGAAAUAAAUAUCAAGUAGAAUCUCUGAACUAAAAGAAACUUCUAUGUUGCAAAGCUUUUCUUUUUUCCAAAUAAUGUAACAGUUUAGAAAACUUGAGAGGUGGGGAAAUGUGCUUUCAUUCAGUUCUAUGUUUUUCUGGAACAGAGCAAUAAAAGUAAGAUUGACAUCUCGCUGACUGUUUAACUGCCAACAUUGCCACCUGCUAUCCUGAGGCAAUAAGCAGCCUUAUUGGCACCCUCGUGCCUGGAGAGAAAACCAAAAGAUGAUGAAUAGCCAGUCCCUAAAAUCAAACGUCAUGCACAGCAGUGGCUGGCACAAGAUGAAGUGCUUGCUAAGGAAAUAGAAUGGUGAAUUGAAGCUCUCAGACCAUUGAUCAAACUUGUUUGUAGCCAGCCUUCAGUGUUUUGUUUCUGGCUGCUAGAAUCUCACUACCCUUCUUGGUCUAAAGGAAGCCAAAGACCCUUCAUCUGUUUAUACAGACCAUAUGUAACUACAAACAGAACUGUACAAAGUUGUCCCUUUGGAGUCCAGGCAUUCAUGUACUUCCCCCAUAUGUAAGCCAAGAAAUGAAUGCAUUCACUGUUUUUUAUUCCCCUGUGAGAUCUUGCUACAGAUUUACUAGUGGUAUGACUUAACCUGUAUUUCCAACCUACAUAUGGAAGAAAGUAAUAAAGCAAGUAGAUAGUGUUAUUGUUCACAGAAAAUGAGACCUUUCUGACUCCAUUCAUGGAUGGAUAAAGACCUCUCCAUAGACUCAUCAAUUUCACUUUACAGACGUACCUGGAAAUUGAUUAGCCCUUGGAGUGGGGAGCUGCACCUUGCAAGGUACACCUCAGAAGAAGUGGGAAAUUUUAGUAUUCAUAGUUGUUAAUGACAACAAGCUAAUACUAGUAAGAGAGAAUGUGUCAUCAUGGUAAGUCCUUCCAUGAAACUCUCAAAAUAAAGGUUAUUUAUUCAGAAGGGUUUGAGUCCACUUACUAAUAUAUAGUUACUGCA